rnacentral:misc_RNA from 1 species
AGAAGUCGUAACAAGGUUUCCGUAGGUGAACCUGCGGAAGGAUCAUUGUCGUGACCCUGACCAAAACAGACCGAGCACGCGUUAUCUAUUGCUACUGAGUGGCGGCACCGUCGUCGCUCAGCCAAAUCCUCGAUAACCUCCUCUCCUCGGAGUGGGGGCUUGGGGUAAAAGAACCCACGGCGCCGAAGGCGUCAAGGAACACUGUGCCUAGCUUGGGGACACGACUGGCUUGCUGGCCGCUCCCCUUGCUGCAAAGCUAUUUAAUCCACAACGACUCUCGGCAACGGAUAUCUCGGCUCUCGCAUC